ACGGGAGGCAGCAGUGGGGAAUAUUGCACAAUGGGGGAAACCCUGAUGCAGCAACGCCGCGUGAGUGAUGACGGUCUUCGGAUUGUAAAGCUCUGUCUUUGGGGACGAUAAUGACGGUACCCAAGGAGGAAGCCACGGCUAACUACGUGCCAGCAGCCGCGGUAAUACGUAGGUGGCGAGCGUUGUCCGGAUUUACUGGGCGUAAAGGGAGCGUAGGCGGAUUCUUAAGUGGGAUGUGAAAUACCCGGGCUUAACCUGGGUGCUGCAUUCCAAACUGGGAAUCUAGAGUGCAGGAGGGGAGAGUGGAAUUCCUAGUGUAGCGGUGAAAUGCGUAGAGAUUAGGAAGAACACCAGUGGCGAAGGCGACUCUCUGGACUGUAACUGACGCUGAGGCUCGAAAGCGUGGGGAGCAAACAGGAUUAGAUACCCUGGUA
rnacentral:rRNA from 2 species